GUUUAUAUUGUCCGUUCAUCCAUUGACGACAGACUAUCAGAUUUUAAUUUGAUUGUGUUACUAGUUUCUGCUUAGUUGCAGAUCAAUGCUGCUGCUGCAGGGGUCCUGUGAUAAAUACAUGGACAACACGGUUGUUGAUCAAUGCUGCUGCUGCAGGGGUCCUGUGAUAAAUACCUGGACAACACGGAUGUUGAUCAAUGCUGCUGCUGCAGGGGUCCUGUGAUAAAUACCUGGACAACACGGAUGUUGAUCAAUACUGCUGCUGCAGGGGUCCUGUGAUAAAUACCUGGACAACACUGAUGUUGAUCAAUGCUGCUGCUGCAGGGGUCCUGUGAUAAAUACAUGGACAACACGGAUGUUGUUGAAGAAAAAGUGAACUUUGGAAAUUAAGCUGCACCUCCUGAAUGAAGAGAGUUAUUUGAUGAAGGGGUCAGUGCUCUAAAAUGAGUCUCUCUGGGGAACAUGACACCAAAACUAAGAGUCCAAUCAAGCAGGAGAGACCAGCCUCCCCUGUUCCCAGCUGUGUGUCCAUGAAGAGUGACCGGUCUAUGGAACCUCCUCUAACCUUUAGAGAGGGAGACUUUUCUACUGAACAAAGGUAAGAAGAACUCAUGGGUCCUGGUCAGUGAGUUAAACAACACUGUCUCUAGUCAUUUCUCCUCUCACAUUUUCCCAUUUAUUGUUGUUGUUUUCAUAAUCCAUAGGCUCAUCAUUUUGUCCAUUUGCAUAGUCCUAAAACAAUAUUAAACAAACACAACAUUCCCUCCCUGUGUGUGUGUGUGUGUGUGUGUGUGUGUGUGUGUGUGUGUGUGUGUACGUACUCCCUGGAUGAGGAGAAGU